rnacentral:rRNA from 1 species
GACGAACGCUGGCGGCAGGCUUAACACAUGCAAGUCGAACGCCGUAGCAAUAGGGAGUGGCAGACGGGUGAGUAACGCGUGGGAACGUGCCUUUUGGUUCGGGACAACUGAGGGAAACUUCAGCUAAUACCGGAUAAGCCCCGAGGGGGAAAGAUUUAUCGCCAAAAGAUCGGCCCGCGUCAGAUUAGGUAGUUGGUGGGGUAAUGGCCUACCAAGCCGAUGAUCUGUAGGUGGUCUGAGAGGAUGCUCACCCACACUGGGACGGAGACACGGUCCAGACUCCUACGGGCGGCAGCAGUGUGGAAUAUUGGCCAAUGGGGGAAACCCUGAACCAGCCAUGCCGCGUGGAUGAAGAAGGCCCUAGGGUUGUAAAGUCCUUUCGCCGCUGAAGAUAAUGACGGUAAGCGGAGAAGAAGCCCCGGCUAAUUUCGUGCCAGCCGCCGCCGUAAAAC